CCAGACUCCUACGGGAGGCAGCAGUGAGGGAUAUUGGGCAAUGGGGGAAACCCUGACCCAGCGACGCCGCGUGAGGGAAGACGGUCUUCGGAUUGUAAACCUCUGUCUUUGGGGACGAAAAAGGACGGUACCCAAGGAGGAAGCUCCGGCUAACUACGUGCCAGCAGCCGCGGUAAUACGUAGGGAGCGAGCGUUGUCCGGAAUUACUGGGUGUAAAGGGAGCGUAGGCGGGAUUGCAAGUUGGAUGUGAAAACUGCGGGCUCAACCCGGAGCGUGCAUUCAAAACUGCGAUUCUUGAGUGAAGUAGAGGCAAGCGGAAUUCCUAGUGUAGCGGUGAAAUGCGUAGAUAUUAGGAGGAACACCAGUGGCGAAGGCGGCUUGCUGGGCUUUUACUGACGCUGAGGCUCGAAAGUGUGGGGAGCAAACAGGAUUAGAUACCCGAGUA
rnacentral:rRNA from 1 species